AAUAAUUCUCAAUUUAUUAAGAGUUCUACAGCUUUACAGCCCCAGUGCCAGCUAUGGCCUGGCAAGGUCAGCCUGGCGGCCCCUUUACUGCAUCCACCCGGAGCUCCCAUGUGGCUGCGGCCCGAGACUGGCAGUGGGCGUUCCUGGUGGCAGAGGUACUGAAGUGGCACAUACAGCUUUACUCGAAAAUAAAACAUAUAAUUAAUCAUGCUUAUUAAAUAAAGCUGCAACAGGAGAGCCAGGAUUCUAACCUGGGGGUGGGGGUAAUCUUUCCAAAUGCACAAGUCCAUCAGCCCGAGACACUCAGAAAUCACACCCAACACAGAUUGAGGUGAUGCAGACUGGCCUGGCACAAACAGCGCUCCCUUGGUGCACAGAACCUGCUCUCUUACUUACCACGGACCUACAGUUCUAAAAUCAGGUGGGCACGCUGACCCAGGGCACCCA
rnacentral:lncRNA from 1 species